UACGUAGGGUGCGAGCGUUAAUCGGAAUUACUGGGCGUAAAGCGUGCGCAGGCGGUUUUGUAAGCCAGAUGUGAAAUCCCCGGGCUCAACCUGGGAACUGCGUCUGAUACUGGACGGCUGGAAUUUGGGAGAGGGAUGUAGAAUUCCAGGUGUAGCGGUGAAAUGCGUAGAUAUCUGGAGGAAUACCGAUGGCGAAGGCAAUCCCCUGGGCCUGCACUGACGCUCAUGCACGAAAGCGUGGGGAGCAAACAGG
rnacentral:rRNA from 1 species